UAUGUCUGAUAUGCAGAAGUAAAAAUUGUCCUUCCUUUGUCUCACCACAGGUACUGUGUUAGGCAUAUUGAGGCCAACUGGAUGAAGAGAUUUAGGUCAGGAGAGAUGAAGAAACUGCUUUGGUGGGCU